GAUGAACGCUGGCGGCGUGCUUAACACAUGCAAGUCGAGCGAGUGAGUUCUUCGGAACGAUCUAGCGGCGGACGGGUGAGUAACACGUGGGCAACCUGCCUCAUAGAGGGGAAUAGCCUCCCGAAAGGGAGAUUAAUACCGCAUAAAAUUAUCGAGUGGCAUCACAUGAUAAUCAAAGGAGUAAUCCGCUAUGAGAUGGGCCCGCGGCGCAUUAGCUAGUUGGUGAGGUAACGGCGCACCAAGGCGACGAUGCGUAGCCGACCUGAGAGGGUGAUCGGCAACAUUGAGACUGAGACACGGCCCAGACUCCUACGGGAGGCAGCAGUGGGGAAUAUUGCACAAUGGGUGAAACCCUGAUGCAGCAACGCCGCGUGAGUGAUGAAGGUCUUCGGAUUGUAAAGCUCUGUCUUUGGGGACGAUAAUGACGGUACCCAAGGAGGAAGCCACGGCUAACUACGUGCCAGCAGCCGCGGUAA
rnacentral:rRNA from 1 species